rnacentral:rRNA from 1 species
GACGAACGCUGGCGGCGUGCUUAACACAUGCAAGUCGAACGGAAAGGCCCUGCUUUUGUGCGGUGCUCGAGUGGCGCACGGGUGUGUAACACGCGAGUAACCUGCACUUGACUUUGGGAUAUCUUCACGAAACUGGGGCUCUUAUCGGAUAGGAGCUCCUGCUGCAUGGGGGGCGUUGGAAAGAUUCGGCGGUUGGGGAUGGACUCGCGGCUUAUCAGCUUGUUUGUGAGGUAGUGGCUGACCAAGCCUGUGACGGGUAGCCGGCCUGAGAGCGUGACCGGCCACAAGGGGACUGAGAUACGGCCCAGACGCCUACGGGAGGCAGCAGUGGGGAGUAUUGCGCAGUGGGCGGAAGCCAGAUACAGCAACGCCGCGUGCGGGAUGACGGCCUUCGGGGUGUGAACCGCUUUCGCCGGUGACGAAGCGGGAGUGACGGUAAUGGGUAAAAAAGCACCGGCUAACUACGUG